CCCUUAGAUGUUCUGGGCCGCGCGCGCUACACUGUUCGACGCAGCGAGUCUUAACCUUGACCGAAAGGUUUGGGUAAUCUUCAGCAAAGUCGAACGUGAUGGGGAUCGAUCAUUGCAAUUAUUGAUCGUGAACGAGGAAUUCCUAGUAAGUGCAAGUCAUCAGCUUGCGCUGAUUACGUCCCUGCCCUUUGUACACACCGCCCGUCGCUACUACCGAUUGAAUGGUUUAGUGAGAUCUCUGGAUUGACGCUGGCUAGGGGGCGACCCUUGGCCAGGCUGUCGAGAAACUGCUCAAACUUGAUCAUUUAGAGGAAGUAAAAGUCGUAACA
rnacentral:rRNA from 1 species